rnacentral:misc_RNA from 1 species
GAUGAAGAACGCAGUGAAAUGCGAUAAGUAAUGUGAAUUGCAGAAUUCAGUGAAUCAUCGAAUCUUUGAACGCACAUUGCGCCCGCCAGUAUUCUGGCGGGCAUGCCUGUUCGAGCGUCAUUUCAACCAUCAAGCCCCCGGGCUUGUGUUGGGGACCUGCGGCUGCCGCAGGCCCUGAAAACCAGUGGCGGGCUCGCUAGUCACUCCGAGCGUAGUAGUUACAUCUCGCUCAGGGCGUGCUGCGGGUUCCGGCCGUUAAAAGCCUUUUACCCCAAGGUUGACCUCGGAUCAGGUAGGAAGACCCGCUGAACUUAAGCAUAUCAAUAAGCGGAGGA